rnacentral:rRNA from 1 species
UGCGUAGGUGGUCGGGUAAGUUUGAUGUGAAAUCUCCGGGCUCAACCCGGAAAAUGCAUUGAAUACUAUUCGGCUGGAGGGUUGGAGGGGGGACGUGGAAUUCUCGGUGUAGCAGUGAAAUGCGUAGAUAUCGAGAGGAACACCAGUGGCGAAGGCGAGUCCCUGGACAACUCCUGACACUAAGGCACGAAAGCUAGGGGAGCAAACA